GGCAGGAUCAGAAAGAUGUGGUGGUGUUGUGUUCUGAAGCUGGCAUUCAAACUACCUGAAAUCAAACCAUUGCAUUAACCAAGCUGCUGGUGCUAAUCCAUAAGUGGCUGAAGGUGCUGAAAUUCAAUGGUGUUCCUCACGUUGUGAUGUUGCACACUUGCAAGUGAUGUAGGAGUUUGCAGGGGAUGGUGGAAAAGGUAGUGCAUGGUGAUGGUAGUUUGUGAAAAAGAGCUGGUGGAAAAAUUGAUAAUAGGAGCAUGGAUUAACACAGGGACUGUCGACUAUUCUGAAGGCUGCUUCAUUUUAAAUUCAGAUAUGUUUUGCCAUCUUCAGGGAUAUUCUCAAGGUCCAGUUAAUUACGAUGUUGGAUCAAGUUAAUUACAAAGUUUGGGAAAUGUAUCUAUCGAUUGUGUUCUUUUCCUCCUAUAUAGUAUUACAUAAUUACCUAAAUGGC